AUGAUACUCCCUACCUUCGCGCCCUCCCGCGCCCCCAGCUCUCUCUCCCCCGCGCCGGUAGCCGCUCCGGCUCCGGCGGCCACCCACCCUCCGGCGUGCAUGGCCAGCCGGGUCCAGCUCUCGGGCUCCCCUUCCGCCAGCUCGGGCCCCUCCUCUCCCGCGGGCCGCGGCCACCCUGCCCCACCGGCAGCCCCGCCCGCCCCGCGGCUCCGCUCCCUCAUCGUCGCCCCGCCCCUGCCGCCGACGCGGGGCGUCGCCCCUCCUCCCCCGCCGCCGCGGACCUCUCCGGCUGCUCCCGCCGCGGGCGAUGAUGGAGCCCCCUGGCAGUUUGUGCGGAGCCGCAAGGAUCGCCGACCGCCGGCUUCGAACAGGCAGCCUGUCUGGCUCCUCUCGUCCAGGCCGCGGAGUCCAACCCUGCCUGCUGCGCUGCACGGAUGCUGCUACAACUGCGGCGAAGACGAUGGCCACAUCUCGCGUCACUGCACCAACCCUACGAGAUGUGUGCGCUGUGGAGGUCAGAAUCACAUCUCCAGGGGAUGCACCCGCCCCCGCAGUUCUUCUCCGGUGGAUCCUGCCCGGCCCCCGCCCGCGCUUCGCCCUCGCCAUCUGACGGCGCCGGAGGUGCCCCCCCGUCCAGGUGGUGCGUUCGGGGUCGUGCGAGAGCGUCGCCGGCCCGGGAUUCUCAACCCCCUUUGCGCCGGCGGCCGCCGCGACCCUGGUGGAGGAUCAGGUGGACGUCUGCUUCAUGAGACUGGGCCGGAUCUCCAAGCCAUGGACGCGGAGCUUGCCCGCGCCGUGGUGGUCUCCGUGGUGGGGCGACACGAGGACGCUCAUCUGGCAGCGGUGGCGGCCGUGAUUCAUGCAGAGUUUGAAGUAGGCCCUUCGGACACGUCUAUCAGGCCGUACUAUCCCGAGGAUUUCCUGAUGCUCUGUCGUUCGCCGGAGCUGCGCAACAGGAUGAUCAGGCGCCGCCGCGCCGGCUCCGGAAGCUUUGACCUGCUAUUUCGGCCCUGGUCGCGCCAGGCAAAUGGAACUGGCAUUGCGAUGCCAUUCCUGGUCCCGCUGGCACUUCGUGGUGUGCCGGCGAAUGCGUGGACGAGGCGCACCGCCGACGUGCUUCUUCAUGGGCUUGGCUUCGUCGCCAAGGUGGAUGCUUCUACGGCGGCUAGAAGUGACAUGUCAGACUUCAGGGUGUGGCUGCGAACGGAUGACCCGGCGCGUAUCCCGUCCCGGAGAAUUCUCGCCGUCAAAGAGCCGGGGCGGCGGAGUAGCCGUGCGCUGCGGGACGAGGGCGAUGUGGACGCCAUUUGGUACCCUAUCUCCAUCUCCCAGGUGGCUGCGGCGGAUCGGGAGAGACCGGAUUCCAGUCGUGGCAUGGGCUCUGGCCAUCCAGGUGGAGGUGGGCGCCCUGACGGGCACUCGGAUGGUUCUCCGGCAAGUUCAUCGGCGUCAGCUCCCACGCCGGUCCACCGGUGUGAGAUUCAAACUGGGGCCGUGACCGGUCAGCAUGAGCAGGUGGGUCCGUGCUCUAGCGUCAUGGCGGACGUGGCCGCAGACGUAGUCGAGACCAGGACGGUGGAAUCAGCAGCUGUUGACGGGCCUAUCCGGCGUCGACAAGUCGUGCAGCAUCGCAGUGCUGGGGCUUCCAUACCGGUGCAAAGCUGCGCCCGGGCCCGCCCCUCUGCCCCUUCGGUGGAGGCCUCGGGGCGCCAUGAGGAGCCAACGCGGCUUCUGGACGCUGCGGUCACAUCGCCCAACGGUUCCCCAUUGCGGUCUCAGGGAGACAAAUCUCUGUCGCUGCUCGAGAUGGGCGCCUCCCCGCGCUCCAGGACAGGCAGCCCGACAGAUGUGACCAAGGAAUCUCCAUUGGUGCGGAUUGGUGGGUGGGACCUGCGCAUCGCUGCGGCGGGACCCACAGACAGGCAACUCAGCUUUUCACAGGAGGAUCACGCGGAAACCGAGGAGGAUUGCGGAAAUGCUAGGGUUUCGCCCAGGGCGGGGCCCACCCUGCAUGGCGAUGUGAUGCCCCCAUGCACGAGAAAUGGUGACUGGUUUGUGGUCUCUCUCUCAGCGGAAAAUCGGGAAAAUGCCGCCCCUGCCUCGGCUGGACAGGACGGGACGGUUGCACAGCCACGAGCCCCUCCAAGUCCUCUUUCCCCUCGGACCCAAGUCACCAAUCUCUGCAACGACCUGCGAUGCGCGCUUUCGCCAAUGCUUUCACAGCCUGUCCGCAGAGAGGAACGGCUCAAGGACGAAGGGAAUCUUUGGGCCAAAGCUGGACUGUUCAAGGGGGACACUAGAGGAUUUGACGAGCACGGUAGUAGGCAGACGGAUCAAAUUGCCUCUCCGAAGUAUGCUAAUAUGUGUUUGCCUCCCCCUUUAAUUGUUGCGUCGCUGCGACUCGAGAGCUCCUAUCCGCAGCCCACAGGCGGCAAAUGUAUAAGCUGA
rnacentral:rRNA from 1 species